rnacentral:rRNA from 1 species
UACGUAGGUGGCAAGCGUUGUCCGGAGUUAUUGGGCGUAAAGCGCGCGCAGGCGGUUGGAUAAGUCCAUGGUGAAAGCGCCUGGCUCAACUAGGCGAGUGCCGUGGGGACUGUUCAGCUGGAGUGGAGCAGAGGCGAGUGGAAAUUCCGGGUGUAGUGGUGAAAUGCGUAGAGAUCCGGAGGAACACCAGAGGCGAAGGCGGCUCGCUGGGCUUUGACUGACGCUGAGGCGCGAAAGCGUGGGGAGCGAACCGG